AUAGUACCUUACUACUUGGAUAACCGUGGUAAUUCUAGAGCUAAUACAUGCUAAAAAUCCCGACUCCGGAAGGGAUGUAUUUAUUAGAUUAAAAACCAAUGCCCUCUGGGCUCCUUGGUGAUUCAUGAUAACUUUUCGAAUCGCACGGCCUUGCGCCGGCGAUGGUUCAUUCAAAUUUCUUCCCUAUCAACUUUCGAUGUUUGGGUAUUGGCCAAACAUGGUCGCAACGGGUAACGGAGGGUUAGGGCUCGACCCCGGAGAAGGAGCCUGAGAAACGGCUACUACAUCCAAGGAAGGCAGCAGGCGCGCAAAUUACCCAAUCCCGAUUCGGGGAGGUAGUGACAAUAAAUACUGAUACAGGGCUCUUUUGGGUCUUGUAAUUGGAAUGAGUACAAUUUAAAUCCCUUAACGAGGAACAAUUGGAGGGCAAGUCUGGUGCCAGCAGCCGCGGUAAUUCCAGCUCCAAUAGCGUAUAUUAAAGUUGUUGUGGUUAAAAAGCUCGUAGUUGAACCUUGGGCCUGGCUGGCCGGUCCGCCUCACCGCGUGUACUGGUCCGGCCGGGCCUUUCCCNCUGUGGAACCUCAUGCCCUUCACUGGGUGUGGCGGGGAAACAGGACUUUUACUUUGAAAAAAUUAGAGUGCUCCAGGCAGGCCUAUGCUCGAAUACAUUAGCAUGGAAUAAUGAAAUAGGACGUGUGGUUCUAUUUUGUUGGUUUCUAGGACCGCCGUAAUGAUUAAUAGGGACAGUCGGGGGCAUCAGUAUUCAAUUGUCAGAGGUGAAAUUCUUGGAUUUAUUGAAGACUAACUACUGCGAAAGCAUUUGCCAAGGAUGUUUUCAUUAAUCAGGAACGAAAGUUAGGGGAUCGAAGACGAUCAGAUACCGUCGUAGUCUUAACCAUAAACUAUGCCGACUAGGGAUCGGACGAUGUUAUUUUUUGACGCGUUCGGCACCUUACGAGAAAUCAAAGU
rnacentral:rRNA from 1 species